rnacentral:rRNA from 1 species
UACGUAGGCGACAAGCGUUGUCCGGAUUUACUGGGCGUAAAGAGCGCGCAGGCGGUCGUUCAAGUCGAGUGUGAAAGCCCCCGGCUCAACUGGGGAGGGUCAUUCGAUACUGAUCGACUCGAAGGCAGGAGAGGGAAGUGGAAUUCCCGGUGUAGUGGUGAAAUGCGUAGAUAUCGGGAGGAACACCAGUGGCGAAGGCGACUUCCUGGCCUGUUCUUGACGCUGAGGCGCGAAAGCUAGGGGAGCAAACGGG